GGACAAGGUUAGCGGCGGACGGGUGAGUAACACGUGGGUAACCUGCCUGUAAGACUGGGAUAACAUUCGGAAACGAAUGCUAAUACCGGAUACGCAGCUUGGUCGCAUGACCGAGCUGGGAAAGAUGGAGCAAUCUAUCACUUAUAGAUGGACCCGCGGCGCAUUAGCUAGUUGGUGAGGUAACGGCUCACCAAGGCGACGAUGCGUAGCCGACCUGAGAGGGUGAUCGGCCACACUGGGACUGAGACACGGCCCAGACUCCUACGGGAGGCAGCAGUAGGGAAUCUUCCGCAAUGGACGAAAGUCUGACGGAGCAACGCCGCGUGAGUGAUGAAGGUUUUCGGAUCGUAAAGCUCUGUUGCCAGGGAAGAAUGCUUGGGAGAGUAACUGCUCCCAAGGUGACGGUACCUGAGAAGAAAGCCCCGGC
rnacentral:rRNA from 1 species